AGUAAUAUGCCUGAAUUAAAAGGAAUAUUUUGAUGAAAUACUAAUGUAAUAUUUUACUAUUACUA
rnacentral:tRNA from 1 species